AUGACAACAGUCUAAAAGAAAGUAAUUUCCGUAUUUACGGAUGUAUAAUAUGGAAAAUGAUAGGGAAUUAAUAAUAGUUUGAAAAUAUAUUCCUUCAUUUAUAUAAGAUUUUCUUACCUCUAUUUCGUGUUUCAUUUCUGAACUUUUAACAAACUUUCAAUCGAUUGAUAUCGAUUAUUUCAUAUAAUAGUACAUCAGAUUAUCGUUAGUAUAUGAAGAUGUCGCAUCUGUAGAGUUCGAUUUGACAAGUUAAUAUUAUUUAUUAAAUUUUAUUUUAUUAUUAAGUGUGUUCACAUAUAUAUUAAUCAUUAAAGAAGAAGAAAUUUGCUGCAAAUACAAUUGAUAUAAUCAAAGAGAAAAUGAUUCCACGUAUUAAACUUCUUAACAAUUUGCAAGGAGGUUCAGCGCAAAACGACUCUCUCAAGACACAGUGGGUUCCUUGAGGACACUUGAAUCCGGCACAAGAAGAAACUUGACUUGAUCAGUUUGACUUUUCAUCUUGGUUUUUUUAUCAAAGUACUUUCAACUUAUAUGAAAUAUGAAAAUAUGUACGAACUCACUUUCAUCCCAACGACAACGGCGGACUUUCAUCAUGCAUGUGUAUCCAUUGGUGCAGUAUACAGCAUCACAGCUAGAAGGACCCUUCAAAGAUUCUCAAAAGACACGAAUGCGCAUAAAAAUAAAGAAUAGAAACUUGCAUAUGAGAAAUCUUUUACAUUAAUUUAAUAAUUUAUCUACAAUAUGCAAAGAAUAAAAUUUCCAUUAACUUAACUUAUUUAUACAUAAA